GAUAUGGAAGCUGAAAUUGCUUUAAUAAUUUUGUAUGCCUUCAUGUGGCUCGCAGUUGUUCUGUGCGGAGCGUUUUAUUGCAUUUACUAUAUCAUCAUGUCCUACUGUUUUGGAUAUAGGGAUUGGGAUUAACUCUCAGCAACCAGAAACUUUGGAAAUGUCAGAGGAGAACAAGAACUGAGAUAAACUAAUUGCCAACGGUGGACUUUAAUGACUGGUUGUUCUUCCAUUCAAAUUCUAAAAACAAGAUCGAACUCUAAUUGAAAAACUUCAGAGAACGCAUUCUCUCAAGCAAAUGCAGCAAGAACAAUCUAAAGAAUUUUUCACGCUGCACUGCCACUUAAUGAAGAUUAUUGUGAACUUGUGAGCGCAAAUAACAAUGAAAUAUCUUUAUUACAAUUGUCAUUGCGCAAAAAAGUUAGUUAAUGAACUUAAACAUUUAUUGAACAUAAACAUUGAAAUGAUUCUGGAAUCCUUUUUCUCGAAAUACCCGCAUGAUUCUUUUAAUGUUCAAGAAUCUCUUAAAGAUACAAUAGAAUAUUUUCAGGACUGUGCAGAAAACGGAGAGCGUUGUCCUUUGCCGAACAUUAGCGAAAACGAAAUCUCAACUUCUGAAUUGUUCUUAAUUAACAAGUCUCCUGAACAGUUUGGAAACUCUCCCCGGUGUUCCACUGGAUUAUGCCGAGUUUCUGGAAGUUUUGCAAAAAUCAGUGAAGGAAUUCUGAGAAAUUAUCAAAUUAAAGAGAAAGUGAUCGAUUCAUCAUGGAACAGACCAGUUGGGAGGAGCAUCCUUAAAGAAAAGUGAAAAAAAGAUAAAUAAACUUUCCCAGUUUUUCAAAAGCGGAAUUUCAACUUAUAAAGUUAAAUUUAAUGUGAUACUCAAGUAAUAAAUUUAUUAAUCAUUUGAGUUCAAUCUUUCAA